UACGUAGGGUGCGAGCGUUGUCCGGAAUUAUUGGGCGUAAAGGGCUCGUAGGCGGUUUGUCGCGUCGGGAGUGAAAACUUGGGGCUUAACUCCGAGCUUGCGGUCGAUACGGGCAGACUUGAGUUCGGCAGGGGAGACUGGAAUUCCUGGUGUAGCGGUGAAAUGCGCAGAUAUCAGGAAGAACACCCGUGGCGAAGGCGGCUCUCUGGGACGGUACUGACGCUGAGACGCGAAAGCGUGGGGAGCGAACAGG
rnacentral:rRNA from 1 species